rnacentral:rRNA from 1 species
UACGGGGGGAGCAAGCGUUGUUCGGAUUUACUGGGCGUAAAGGGCGCGUAGGCGGCGCAACAAGUCACUUGUGAAAUCUCCGGGCUUAACCCGGAGCGGCCAAGUGAUACUGUCGUGCUAGAGUGCGGAAGGGGCUACUGGAAUUCUCGGUGUAGCGGUGAAAUGCGUAGAUAUCGUAAGGAAGACCAGUGGCGAAGGCGAAUCUCUGGACAGUUACUGACACUGAGGCACGAAGGCCAGGGGAGCAAACGGG